AAAAAAAAAAAAAAAAAAAAAAAAAACACGGAGGGCACAUGUGUGUCAUCUAAGGAUGUCGCCUUAUAAAUUUUAAUGGAACGCGCGUUCCAUCCUUUAAUAGCAGCAGGGGGAAUUGAAAUCCUAAAAAAUUAAAAACCCCGCUUUUCUUCCAUCUUUUAGGGUUUCCAUGUAAACCCUAGACCUCAUUUGCAGCUUUCGUUCUGUGAUCAAGUUGUUGCUGUUCGGGAAGGAAUAACGAAUUCAUCCUCUCCAUCAGCCAACAACCUUAUAAAUUUUAAUGGAACGCGCGUUCCAUCCUUUAAUAGCAGCAGGGGGAAUUGAAAUCCUAAAAAAUUAAAAACCCCGCUUUUCUUCCAUCUUUUAGGGUUUCCAUGUAAACCCUAGACCUCAUUUGCAGCUUUCGUUCUGUGAUCAAGUUAUUGCUGUUCGGGAAGGAAUAACGAAUUCAUCCUCUCCAUCAGCCAACAACCUUCACUCUCUGCUUCUCUUUUUCUCUGUAAACCCUAGACCUCAUUAUGCGGCUAUAACUCUUCCUCCCUUU
rnacentral:lncRNA from 1 species